UGGAUAUAGUUUUGAAAUUGAUAGAUUUGAUUAUUGACAGGGAUAUUGUCUAUCAUCUUAUAAUUGUUAAGUCUGUAAUAGAAAAUCUUUGAGCACCUUCAUUAUCUCUAAUGUAGGCAUCUUCUAAGGCAUACCAAAGAUUUUUAGCAGUCUUAUAUUUUUUAUAGGUUUUAUACAAUUCAUCUGAAAGACAACUAAGAAUUCUAAACCUGUGAUAGAACUCAAUUUCCUCUAAAAAUUUGUCUAGU
rnacentral:lncRNA from 1 species